rnacentral:rRNA from 1 species
UGGGGAAUUUUGGAAAAUGGGGGAAACCCUGAUCCAGCCAUCCCGCGUGUGAGAUGAAGGCCUUCGGGUUGUAAAGCACUUUUGGCAGGAAAGAAACGUCAUGGGUUAAUACCCCGUGAAACUGACGGUACCUGCAGAAUAAGCACCGGCUAACUACGUGCCAGCAGCCGCGGUAAUACGUAGGGUGCAAGCGUUAAUCGGAAUUACUGGGCGUAAAGCGUGCGCAGGCGGUUCGGAAAGAAAGAUGUGAAAUCCCAGAGCUCAACUUUGGAACUGCAUUUUUAACUACCGGGCUAGAGUGUGUCAGAGGCAGGUGGAAUUCCGCGUGUAGCAGUGAAAUGCGUAGAUAUGCGGAGGAACACCGAUGGCGAAGGCAGCCUCCUGGGAUAACACUGACGCUCAUGCACGAAAGCGUGGGGAGCAAACAGG